AGCUCCAAUAGCGUAUAUUUUAGUUGUUGCAGUUAAAAAGCUCGUAGUUGAAUUUCUGGUGGGAGAAGGCAGUCCGACCCUUUGGGUGGGUACUCGCUCUCUCCGGCCAUCCUUGGUUGGAGCCUGUCUGGCUUUAAGUUGUCGGGCAGGGGAUGACCAUCGUUUACUGUGAAAAAAUUAGAGUGUUCAAAGCAGACUUAUGUCAUUGAAUAUAUUAGCAUGGAAUAAUAAAAUAGGACUACAGUGCUAUUUUGUUGGUUUGCGCACCGUGGUAAUGAUGAAUAGGGACAGUUGUGAGUAUUAGUAUUCAGUUGUAAGAGGUGAAAUUCUUAGAUUAACGGAAGACUCACUACUGCGAAAGCAUUUACCAAGGAUGUUUUCA
rnacentral:rRNA from 1 species